AGACCUUACCCGACUUAGCUGAGAGGUGGUGCAUGGCCGUCGUCAGUUCGUACUGUGAAGCAUCCUGUUAAGUCAGGCAACGAGCGAGACCCACGUCCACAGUUGCCAGCAUACCCUCCGGGGUGGAUGGGUACACUGUGGAGACCGCCGCUGCUAAAGCGGAGGAAGGAGUGGGCAACGGUAGGUCAGUAUGCCCCGAAUCUCCCGGGCUACACGCGGGCUACAAUGGUUGGUACAAUGGGCAUCUACCCCGAAAGGGGAAGGAAAUCUCUUAAAGCCAAUCGUAGUUCGGAUUGAGGGCUGCAACUCGCCCUCAUGAAGCUGGAAUCCGUAGUAAUCGCGUUUCAACAGAACGCGGUGAAUACGUCCCUGCUCCUU
rnacentral:rRNA from 1 species